UAUAUAUACGACAUUUGGAUCUAGUAUUGAAAUACUCAUACAAAAAAUUUUAUAAAGCUUGAAGCAUUACUCCUAAUAUGGCGUUGAUUAAGCUUAGUUUCAUAUUCACUAUCAUUAUCAUGGCAGCCACUAGUUAGUAUUCAUCUUUAUUUAUCUCUACAUUAUUCUUCCAUAAUAUUGUGUUGGUUAAUAUGUAUAUAUGCACAUCUUUCAUACAAAUAUUGUGUGUUUUAUUAUAUGAUGUUUAAAUGUGGAUUUUUAUUAUUAUGUCGAUGAUUAGUUGAUUAUUUAUGAUUGUGAAAUAUUUCAGUUAAUGUGCCUGGGUUUUCAAAGAAACAAGUUACAGCUACACCAGAUAUUGAUCAUGUAAUCUCAGGACUCAAAAGGAGAGUGCUCCCACAGUUUAAUACUUGUCUCAGAUCGUGUACGUCAGAUAGCGAUUGCAGUGAUUGUUGGAUUUGUUGUGCUUGUGGGCACAAUGCCAUAUAUCCCAAUCAAUUGGUGUGUUCAUCGAAUUUUUAGUAGUGGCAGUGACAAAUUACUAUUAUGCAUUAGUGUGUCUUUGUGUAAUUUCAAUGUUUGUUUGUCUUUUCUUAUUUACUUGUCUUUUAUGCUUUGAAAAAUAAUAAUAAUAAUUGGAUUUGCUAGCUUGUAUCAAAGCUAAGCAUGUCAUUUUCCUUUCCGUUUCCUUUUAUAAGUUGAUAGCUUUAGUUUGGCAAUAUUAUAGAACAUGGAAACAUUAAGAGUAGCCCGAUGUAUUAAACUUUCAUUAUAUGUGAGUUUUGGGGAAGGGUCAAACCACAAGGGUCUAUCAUACACAGUCUUACCCUGUAUUUCUGCAAGAGACUGUUUUUAUGGCUCGAACCCGUGAUUUUCUGAUCACAUAACAGCAACUUUACCAGUUAAGUCAAGCGUGUCAUU
rnacentral:lncRNA from 1 species